UACGUAGGGGGCAAGCGUUGUCCGGAAUUAUUGGGCGUAAAGCGCGCGCAGGCGGUCAUUUAAGUCUGGUGUUUAAUCCCGGGGCUCAACCCCGGAUCGCACUGGAAAACUGGAUGACUUGAGUGCAGAAGAGGAGAGUGGAAUUCCACGUGUAGCGGUGAAAUGCGUAGAUAUCGGGAGGAACACCAGUGGCGAAGGCGACUACCUGGCCUGUUCUUGACGCUGAGGUGCGAAAGCGUGGGGAGCA
rnacentral:rRNA from 1 species